UACGUAGGGUGCGAGCGUUAAUCGGAAUUACUGGGCGUAAAGCGUGCGCAGGCGGUUUUGUAAGCCAGAUGUGAAAUCCCCGGGCUUAACCUGGGAACUGCAUUUGGGACUGCAAGGCUUGAGUGCGGCAGAGGAGACUGGAAUUCCUGGUGUAGCGGUGAAAUGCGCAGAUAUCAGGAGGAACACCUGCGGUGUAGACGGCUUUCUGGACCAUUGCUGACGCUGAGACACGAAAGCGUGGGUAGCAAACAGG
rnacentral:rRNA from 1 species